rnacentral:rRNA from 1 species
GAUGAACGCUGGCGGCGUGCCUAAUACAUGCAAGUCGAGCGAACAGAUGAGGAGCUUGCUUCUCUGACGUUAGCGGCGGACGGGUGAGUAACACGUGGAUAACUUACCUAUAAGACUGGGAUAACUUCGGGAAACCGGAGCUAUACCGGAUAAUAUAUUGAACCGUAUGGUUCAAUAGUGAAAGACGGUUUUGCUGUCACUUAUAGAUGGAUCCGGGCGGCAUUAGCAAGUUGGUAAGGUAACGGCUUACCAAGGCAACGAUGCGUAGCCGACCGGAGAGGGGGUACGGCAACACUGGAACUGAGACACGGUCCAGACUCCUAGGGGAGGCAGCAGUAGGAAAUCUUCCGAAAUGGGCGAAAGCCUGACGGAGCAACGCCGCGUGAGUGAUGAAGGUCUUCGGAUCGUAAAACUCUGUUAUUAGGGAAAAACAAAUGAGUAAGUAACUAUGCACGUCUUAACGGAACCUAAGAAGAAAGCCACGGCAAACUACGU